UGGCCGCCCUUUUCUGUCAAAAGAAUGAUUCUAAAGUCGUAAUAGGGCUAUUUAUAGUUGAGGAGCGUCACAGAAAACAGGCCCAAGCCCAGCAGACAACCGCCCGACGUCACACUUAUGCCGCCCGACGGUUUGUCCAUAGUCGCGCUACCGCCCAACGGUGAGUUCCACCGCCCGGCGGUUUGCCUUUUACCGCAAAACCGCCCAGCGUCGUCCCUUGGGUAUCAAACAGUGGCUUCUCCUCACAUUUGGCCACCCAACAGUGG
rnacentral:lncRNA from 1 species